CAAAGUCCAGGUCCAGAGCCUCAUUACUAAUGCUGGUUGAACACGGUGGCCCAUUUUAAACCCAGCCUCAGAAGAUGAAGACAAGGACCUCCAGAGCACCACGGCAGGAGACUAUCCAUAUCAGUUAGCUCUGGGUUUUGGCUGAGAGACCCUGCCUCGUGAAUAAGAGUCCUCUCAUGCAGUCACCUCGGAUUCCAGGAACAAGUCUGGUCAAUAUACAUCCGUGGCAACAAUUGAAACUACCCACCUCUGGGCAGCAGGGAUUUUCUCAUCUGUUGCAAGACUCCUAAGCCUCUUCUGGGCUGUGGCAGCAGAGCUGACCAGUGGGACAGCGUCUACACAGUCUACAACACCCGCUAUCCGGCUAACUGAUCUGGACAAGAAGGACUAGAGAAGCUUUCUGAACCUGUCAGCUCUUGUGCCCUGGAGAUGAAGCAAAAGAGAAGAAUGGGUCAGAACCAGGAACAACAUCCUCUGGUAAAUGGACGCAGGGUCUACUUGAAGCUGCUGUCCUGGCCAUCUGGACGUCUUGCAUCAGCCCACUCAGAUACUCAGGAUGCUGACUUGCUGAGACCUUGAAUGGCCUUCCCUCUGUUGUCUGCCUCUGUCCUCCCCACCUGGGACAUAUAAAUAGAUUCUAGCUGUACUUAUUUUUCCUCCCAAAGUCGCUGAUGCUCUGUGUUGUUCCUUCUCCUGGGCCAGGUCAAGGUGGCGUCCCUGUCUUCAUCAUGGAGUCACCAUGUAGCAGGCUGGCCUUAAACUUGGGAUGCUUCUCCUGAGUUGCCUGGAUGCUGGUUUACAGGGAUCCAAAGAAAAGGCUGCCACUUCAAUGUCUAAUGGGUCCAGACAGGCUCCUACCUCCCGCCUUGAUGCUUGGCCGCUCACACCAUUACGGAAGCUGCCAACGAGAAAGGCACGAGAUGCCGGGGACCAGCUGACCUUGACUGCCUGCAUCUGAAAUACUCCUGUCUAUCCCACCACGGAGAGAGACAGCAACUAAAUUGGAUUAAUCCCAAAGGGAUCAGUCUGUAUCUCAGAGUAUUUAUAAAAUUUGAAAGAUCUAGGCGCUUCACGGGCAGCACUUGCUCUAGCUUUAAGCGGUUAGCACAAAGCUCUGGAGCGGGUAAAGCUAUGCUGAGCAACUGAAUGGACUGUGUCAGGUCUGUGGAGGAGUUGUGAGACUUGAGGCUUCGCAUGAAUAGUGAAAAAUCAUAUGCAUAUACAUAUACAUUUAUAUACAUAUAUGCUAAAGAAUAUAUAUACUAAGUCCUCACCUAACUGCAGGCUGACCAGCAGGUACACAUCGUACUUUAUAGGAAUCAUAACUCACCUGCCUUUGUUCUGCUUCUAUGAUUGCAAGGCUUUCUGCUCCCCUUGAGCAAAUAGAAAUACCACGGUGACACAACUGUGCCCUGUUCUUAUUAAAAAUUUCCAUAUUCUGUCAUGGUUGGUAACAGCCUUGUAAGUUACUGUCAAUGUGAAGCACCAAAUGUGUUGAUUUUUACCUUUAUAAACCCCCUGCUCACUCAGCUUGGGGCAGCGUCUUUAGACUUCUGGUCAUGCCCCUGGCUGGGUCUGUGUGCUUCAAUCAAAACUUCAGAUUCAUAAAGAGUUCUCAUACUGGUCUCUUUUUCUUGGGUGAGAACAGCCUGGCUACAAUGGCCCAUGAGAUAGGAAGAGAGUCUGAGGGCUAAACGCAGAAAAAAAGAAGAUAAAAUGCUUUAAAUGGGUUUGCACAUGUAAUCCAGUUUUAGAGUGUUUGCCUGGCGUGCAUGAGGCCCUGGGUUCAAUUCCCAGUACCACAUAAAUGGGUAUGGUGGUGUAAACUUCUAAUCUCAGCCCAGCAUCUGUGUAACCCAAGGUCCUUCUUGGCUACAUGGUAACUUUGAGGCCAGCCUGGGUGACAUGAAACCCUAUCUCAAAAACCAAAAAGAUCAACAACAACAACAAAAAAAAAAUUUUAGAAGUGAGGUGUGCACUCUUGGGCAUAUAUGUGAAGGAUGCUCCGUUAUAAAACAAGGAUAACAACUAUGUUAAUUGUGGCUUUAUUCAUAACAACCAGUAACUGGAAACAACCUAGACGCCCCACAACAGAAGAGUGGAUA
rnacentral:sRNA from 1 species